rnacentral:rRNA from 1 species
UACGGAGGGGGCAAGCGUUAUUCGGAAUUAUUGGGCGUAAAGGGCGCGUAGGCGGCUAGAUGUGUCAAAGGUGAAAUCCCUCGGCUCAACUGAGGAACUGCCUUUGAAACUGUCUGGCUUGAGGCCGGGAGAGGUAAGUGGAAUUCCCAGUGUAGCGGUGAAAUGCGUAGAUAUUGGGAGGAACACCAGUGGCGAAGGCGGCUUACUGGACCGGUUCUGACGCUGAGGCGCGAAAGCGUGGGGAGCAAACGGG